AUUGAACGCUGGCGGCAGGCCUAACACAUGCAAGUCGAGCGAGCGGCGGACGGGUGAGUAAUGUAUGGGGAUCUGCCUGAUGGAGGGGGAUAACUACUGGAAACGGUAGCUAAUACCGCAUACCAUCAGAUGAACCCAUAUGGGAUUAGCUUGUAGGUGAGGUAAAGGCCCACCUAGGCGACGAUCCCUAGCUGGUCUGAGAGGAUGAUCAGCCACACUGGGACUGAGACACGGCCCAGACUCCUACGGGAGGCAGCAGUGGGGAAUAUUGCACAAUGGGCGCAAGCCUGAUGCAGCCAUGCCGCGUGUGUGAAGAAGGUCUUCGGAUUGUAAAGCACUUUAAGUUGGGAGGCGUUACCAACAGAAUAAGCACCGGCUAACUUCGUGCCAGCAGCCGCGGUAAUAC
rnacentral:rRNA from 1 species